GGGGGGGGGGGGGGGUUCUUCAUCCGAACCCAGCCUCCCCUCCUCCUCUUUUGGCCUGGGGGGGUGUAAUGGCCGAGGUGUCCCUUACCUGCCCGUUUUCCCCCGCAGUGGCCAAGACCAAAAAAGGGGGGGAUACCCCCCCCCCCCCUGCAAAGCCCGCGUCACUUCUCCUGCCAGUCCCCCCCCCCCCCCCCCCAUCCUGGGAAAAGAAAAGAACACUACAGAAAUGUACGAGAGGAAAGACGCCGGAAACCCGCGAGGGCGCGAGAUGAAGCCACAAAAGACAUUUUAGUAGAUUGUUUCUGUCAUUUCCUUGAAUAUUAAAGUAGGAAUGUUUAAAUGAGUGCAGAUGCAAGUGGCCUACUAAGCCCCCCACGUGUGCUCGUGUUCCUUCAGCUCCUCAGACUCGUGUCACAGAGAAGAGGCUGCUUGUGGUUGUAAUGUCUUUGACUCCCGUGUUUGUCUGCAGGUCAAACAUCUUGUGUCCCUGCAGGUCAAACAUCUCGUGUCCCUGCAGGUCAAACAUCUCGUGUCCCUGUCCCUGCAGGUCAAACAUUUCGUGUCCCUGUCCCUGCAGGUCAAACGUCUCGUGUCCCUGCUCGCUCAUGUUUAGUCACUUUAUCAUUCGUGAGUUCCACCUCUUUACGUGCAGUGUGAGAUGCUGUUUUUUGACCCGGUGACGGUGGAGCGCUGAAGCCGAGGCUCGGACACGUGGUGUGAUUUGAUGAGAUCAAAUGGAUGCAGAGCCCCCCCACAGUCUGCCAUGUGUCUUUCUCCAUGUAGUGAGAUCUCAACCAUUCCAACUUUGUUAAAAAAAAAGCACUUUUGGGUCAGCGCUGCUGGUCGUCUAAAAAAAGAGAGAAAAAAGAGGGAUUGAGUUUGUAAAACAAGAUGUCAUUUGAACGGGGGGGUGAGCAGGAGUCUGAGUCCUGAGUCCUCCAAUGGGACAAAAGCACUGCUCAUGGGUUCUGGGAAGGGGAUGAAGCUAAAAAAAAAAAAGAAAAAAAAGUGCUGAGACUAUGAUUUUGCACAAACCUAAAAGACCUGGGCUGCAUCUCCUGGGGACUCGCCUAAAAUAAAGGUGUAAAGCGAAGCUGGCGAGGGUCCCGAGGGGUGGGUGGGUGUCAGAAGGGUGGAGGCUGGACAGGGAGGGGGUCUCCAUGCUGCGGAGGGUUCCUACAGUGCGUUGGGCUGCGUGGAACCCUGUGAAUGAGGUUUGUGAUUGUACAUUAAGGACAGAGAGGAGGAGAGAAACACUCCUUAUAUUCCGCUGCUAUAGAAAAUGAAUCCCAGCUACGUGUUAAAAAAAAAAAGAAAAACUGACAAAAACGUAAUGGAUUAAAAAUGAUGCUUUUCUCCUGUUUGCUGCUACAUUUUGGUGUUUUUUUAUACAUAUAAAUGUCAAUAUGCUGCCAUUUUAGUUUUGAAUUUUCUCAUAGAAAAUUGUUCUAUUGACAUCCUCAUUUGUUGUUUUUGUGUAGAUUCUAUGUGAUCCGUUUUUAUUUUGUAUGUGUAUAAUUACAUACAGAAUUUGAUUUUCCGAUCUAUUCCAAAAAAUAUGGAGAAAAAUGUACAGAAAUGCUUUGAUCCACAAUACCUCAUGUGACAGUCCAGAUCUAUCUCUCGUCUCGGUCUCUUUGUUCAACCUGCUUGCAGAGGGGAAGCCAUGACAGAAACCUGGGUGUGUUUAACUCUUUUGAGUGCUAAGCUGUCUCGGUAAAGAGACUUUUAUCCCCACUUUAGGCCCAUGGGGGCCUCUGUUCCUUUCCCCUUUUGAUAUUUAUGGAAGAAGAAAUGGUUGAGUGAGUUGCGUUUGUACGUAGGGUGUCGUGCUUGGUAAGCCAUAGACUUGUGUUGUUACCAAUCAUUCCACUCAGUGUCGACUUCAUGCCAGUUCUCUGCAACUUCUGUCAACUACACAAUAAAAACAUGAACUAGAUGGAUCAGUGUGUAAAACGCUCUGUUCUUGUCCACACGUGAUGCUAUGCUAAGAGAGGGACUACUUCCUGCUGCGGAUUAACACAGUUAGGAGCACCUCGCUGUGACAUCCACAAUAUCAGCAGAGAAUACGGCGCUCUGAAGGAUCGACAAGCGGCUGACCGACUGAGGAGGAAACUUCUGGUCGGGAUGUAGAAGUGAGAAGCUGCAGCAGGAACAGAAAGAAGCCCACGUAUUGUGGCUGCACCUGACCGAUGAGAGGGAGAAACAUCUGGACGCAAGGCUCCACCGAUCGCCCCGGGGCUUCUUCUGGAAGACGAACCUGGAAUGGUUCCCCUCUGAGAAAGGGAACGCCACUUCUGCAAAUGACAAGAAAGAAAGUGCCGCGUCGGCUCAACAGCUGCACGCUCAUCUUCUUCCUCUUUUCUUGCCCGUUCGCAACACCGAUUGCGUUCAGACCGGAAUUCCUGUGGUGACACAAGUUCCUGUAUUACAAUGCACGCAGAUGCACCGACAUUUGAUCCUGUGGACGCGUCAUCGGACAACCUCCGGUACC
ensembl:lncRNA